rnacentral:rRNA from 1 species
AUUGAACGCUGGCGGCAUGCCUUACACAUGCAAGUCGAACGGUAACAGGUCUUCGGAUGCUGACGAGUGGCGAACGGGUGAGUAAUACAUCGGAACGUGCCUAGUAGUGGGGGAUAACUACUCGAAAGAGUGGCUAAUACCGCAUGAGAUCUACGGAUGAAAGCAGGGGAUCGCAAGACCUUGUGCUACUAGAGCGUCCGUUGGCAGAUUAGGUAGUUGGUGGGAUAAAAGCUUACCAAGCCGACGAUCUGUAGCUGGUCUGACAGGACGAUCAGAGACACGGGGAGUGAGACAGGGCCAAGACUCCUACGGGAGGCAGCAGUGGGGAAGUUUGGACAAUGGGCGCAAGGCUGAUCCAGCAAUGCCGCGUGCAGGAUGUAGGACUUCGGGUUGUAAACUGCUUUUGUACGGAACGAAAAGCCCUGGGUUAAUACCCUGGGGUCAUGACGGUACCGUAAGAAUAAGCACCGGCUAACUACGUGCCAGCCGCCGCGGUAAGAC